rnacentral:rRNA from 1 species
GACGAACGCUGGCGGCGUGCUUAACACAUGCAAGUCGAACGGGAACCUUUAUUUCGGUAAAGGUGAGAGUGGCAAACGGGUGAGUAACACGUAGGCAACCUGCCGACAGGAUGGGGACAACAUUCCGAAAGGAAUGCUAAUACCGAAUGAAGUCACCGGAGGGCAUCCUCUGGUGAUGAAAGAUGGCCUCUGAAUAUGCUAUCACCUGUCGAUGGGCCUGCGUCUGAUUAGCCAGUUGGCGGGGUAACGGCCCACCAAAGCGACGAUCAGUAGCCGGUCUGAGAGGAUGAACGGCCACAUUGGGACUGAGACACGGCCCAGACUCCUACGGGAGGCAGCAGUGGGGAAUCUUCCACAAUGGGCGAAAGCCUGAUGGAGCAACGCCGCGUGAGUGAAGAAGGUCUUCGGAUCGUAAAGCUCUGUUGCACGGGACGAAAACCGA